UUUGAGAGGUAGAGCAGAAAAAGAAAGAAAUAACAAACAACAACAAUCAAAUGAAAUAAAGGUAUCAUUCUUGAGAAGUUGCCAGAGAUUUAGUAGGACUUCAGCCUGCAUCUUGGAAAGACAUACCAGACUCCAUAACACAGGCUCACCAGAUGGGCGUCUGCCCUCAGCUCUUCCCCGAGGAGGGCACUCCUACGCUGACUUUGAUACAGGCCAGCAGAGGUACCACUUCCCCCAUCCGCUCCAGGAGCCCAAGCACAUCACAGAAACAUGUGAAC
rnacentral:lncRNA from 1 species